GAGAAUGGUGGAGCUGGCGAGACAUCUUUGAGUGGCCAUCCAGCUGAGAGACCUGCAGUUACGCUUACGACAACGGCGUCUGGUGGUGCAACAUCUUCAACUGUGUCCACGGGCGAAGGUUCUGCAGCGGCAACGCUGCCAGCAGCGCCGGCUGGUGUGUCCACGGGCGGAGGUUCUCCUGCAACAGCGGUGCCAGCAGCCCCAGCUGUCGUUCACCUAGGAAGACAACCAUCUUCGACUGGUUCCACAGGCGGGACGUUUUCAACUACCUCUCUAUCGCCAACACUGAGCG